GUCACUUUGGCGGAGUGGUUAACGCGUUGCCCUGCUAUCCACCUCGGUGGUAAACCUAGGCAAUUCCCUCGGGAGCACAGGUUCGAAUCCUGUAGGUGACG